AGAGCUUUCUACGUUUGGGACUCCAUAAGAGGCCGAUGGUGGUCCAUACUGGCUUGGGGGAGGACUUAACGGAGCUCUAAAAUGGUGGAGACCAAAAAGAAGCAACCUAGGAGUAGCUGAAAAGAAGAUCCCAAUUAUUAACCACAAUUAUAAAAGAGAUAAAUUUUCGUGAAAAAUGUAUUGUUUACGGAAACAGAAUUUGAGAUCAAUUGAAUGCAGUAGGAAGAAAGCAAGCAGUGAACGUUACGGCCAGAAAUGCAAAUGAAGUAACCAUGGCACGUUAGUCAUCUAGGUGACUGUACCAGCUUCGUAAUUACCUAGUAACACAAUACUAGCUGCUAAAAAUUCAUCAACUACCGAUAAGAUCUGAAACAUCAACUUCAUACACGAGCAUUAUACUUAAUAA